rnacentral:rRNA from 1 species
AGAGUUUGAUCAUGGCUCAGAACGAACGCUGGCGGCAGGCUUAACACAUGCAAGUCGAACGCCCCGCAAGGGGAGUGGCAGACGGGUGAGUAACGCGUGGGAACGUACCCUUUACUACGGAAUAACGCAUGGAAACGUGUGCUAAUACCGUAUGUGCCCUUCGGGGGAAAGAUUUAUCGGUAAAGGAUCGGCCCGCGUUGGAUUAGCUAGUUGGUGGGGUAAAGGCCUACCAAGGCGACGAUCCAUAGCUGGUCUGAGAGGAUGAUCAGCCACAUUGGGACUGAGACACGGCCCAAACUCCUACGGGAGGCAGCAGUGGGGAAUAUUGGACAAUGGGCGCAAGCCUGAUCCAGCCAUGCCGCGUGAGUGAUGAAGGCCCUAGGGUUGUAAAGCUCUUUCACCGGAGAAGAUAAUGACGGUAUCCGGAGAAGAAGCCCCGGCUAACUUCGUGCCAGCAGCCGCGGUAAUACGAAGGGGGCUAGCGUUGUUCGGAUUUACUGGGCGUAAAGCGCACGUAGGCGGAUCGAUCAGUCAGGGGUGAAAUCCCAGAGCUCAACUCUGGAACUGCCUUUGAUACUGUCGAUCUGGAGUAUGGAAGAGGUGAGUGGAAUUCCGAGUGUAGAGGUGAAAUUCGUAGAUAUUCGGAGGAACACCAGUGGCGAAGGCGGCUCACUGGUCCAUUACUGACGCUGAGGUGCGAAAGCGUGGGGAGCAAACAGGAUUAGAUACCCUAGUAGUCC